rnacentral:rRNA from 1 species
CACGUAGGGUGCGAGCGUUGUCCGGAAUUAUUGGGCGUAAAGAGCUCGUAGGCGGUGUGUCGCGUCGGCCGUGAAAACCUGCAGCUUAACUGUGGGCUUGCGGUCGAUACGGGCAUCACUGGAGUUCGGCAGGGGAGACUGGAAUUCCUGGUGAUAGCGGUGAAAUGCGCAGAUAUCAGGAGGAACACCGGUGGCGAAGGCGGGUCUCUGGGCCGAUACUGA